rnacentral:rRNA from 1 species
CGGGGAUUGACUCGCUACUGAAUCUUUGAUGUGUCAUCGAAGAUAACGUAAAGGAAAAUAAUGAUAUUACUUUACUAUAAGUGUCGUCCAAAGACUCGUGCCAGAAGACUCGGUAAGGCGAGAGACGCAAACGUUAUUCGUCUUGAUCAGGCGUAAAGGGUGUGUAGGCUGCUUUAAGUAUUUAUGUUAAAGUUUAUCAUUUUAAAUUAGAAGGCUAAAGUGCUAAUAUAAAUCAAUUAAAGCUAGAAUCUAAAAGAGGUUAAAACAAUGUUUAAGGUAGGAGUACUAACCGAAAAUAUUAAAUAGAGUGCAAACGGCGAAGGCAUUUAACCACUAAAGAUUGACGCUGAGAAACGAAAGUGAGGACAGAAAAAAGGAUUAGAGACCCUUGUAUUCCUCACCGUCAACGAUGAAUGGCAGUUACUAGAAAGAAAUUAACUAGAGACGAUGUUAACACGAAAACCAUUCCGCCUUGUGAGUACGACUGCAAAGUCGAAAACAAAAAAAUUAGUCGGUUUCGGAGCAAACGAAGUGAAGCAUGUUAUUUAAGA